CCCCUUCAGAGGGGGACAACAGUUGGAAACGACUGCUAAUACCGCAUACGAUCUGACCUCGGCAUCGAGGAUAGAUGAAAGGUGGCCUCUACAUGUAAGCUAUCACUGAAGGAGGGGAUUGCGUCUGAUUAGCUAGUUGGAGGGGUAACGGCCCACCAAGGCGAUGAUCAGUAGCCGGUCUGAGAGGAUGAACGGCCACAUUGGGACUGAGACACGGCCCAG
rnacentral:rRNA from 1 species